UACGGAGGAGGCAAGCGUUAUCCGGAAUUAUUGGGCGUAAAGCGUCCGUAGGUGGCUAGUCAAGUCUGCGGUCAAAGACUGGGGCUUAACCCUGGAAAGGCCGUGGAAACUGACGAGCUAGAGUGCAGUAGGGGUAGAGGGAGUUCCCGGUGUAGCGGUGAAAUGCGUAGAGCUCGGGAAGAACAUCGGUGGCGAAAGCGCUCUACUGGACUGCAACUGACACUCAGGGACGAGAGCUAGGGGAGCGAAUGGG
rnacentral:rRNA from 1 species